rnacentral:rRNA from 1 species
GACGAACGCUGGCGGCGCGCUUAACACAUGCAAGUCGAACGGAAAGGCCUGCUUUCCGUUGUGGGUUGCGGGUACGAGCGUGGCGAACGGGUGAGUAUCACGUGAGUGAUCUGCUCCCAACUUUUGUAUAAGCCUGGGCAACUGCGGCUAAUUCCCGACAGGUCCGCAGGGUGGUUCCUAAGGUGGCAGACGAUGUUCUAGGGGUUGGGGCUGGGCAGCUGGCGUAUCAGCUGGUUGUUGGGGUAGUGGCCUACCAAGGGGGCGACGGGUAGCCGGUCUGGGGGGGUGGACGGCAGCAUUGGGACUGAGAUACGGCCCAGACGCCUACGCGAGGCAGCAGUGGGGAGUAUGGCGCGAGGGGCGGAGGCCUGAUGGAGCGACGCCGCGGGGGGGAUGACGGGUUUCGGGUUGUGAACUCCGUUCGGUCGCGAGGAAGCCACCUGGUUGGAGGGGUGGUGACGGUAGUGGGAGAAGAAGCACCGGCUAACUACGUG